rnacentral:ncRNA from 15 species
CCGUUCCGGGAGCGUGGUGGACUGCCCACGCCAUGUACGGCAGCAGGAGAGGAAGCCGGUGCGAAUCCGGCGCGGUCCCGCCACUGUCACCGGGGAAGAACCCCCGGGGAGCCAGGAACUCUCGCCGCCGGAUCACGUCGAACC